AUUCCAUCCUUUCACUAAAGAUAUAAAGCCACUUUUUAUUGACAGAUGCCUCAUGUCAAUGUUCUGGAUUUUGAUGAAAGGAAAUUCCAUAUAGCCUACUGGACAGGACUUUGCUAUGGCAUCUUCUGUUUGGGUGUCUCAGGUCAGGACUUUGCUAUGGCAUCUUCUGUUUGGGUGUCUCAGGUCAGGACUUUGCUUUGGCAUCUUCUGUUUGGGUGUCUCAGGUCAGGUCUGAGCCAUAAUCAGAAUGUGUCGCUGUCUCUAUUUCCAGCCCUGCCAUUUCGACCAUGUCCUGAUCUAGUGUUUGACCCCUGACCUCCUCACACCAUCUCACUGUCCAUGUCUGCUUUUAGCUCCCACCUCUACUUCACUGUAUUAUAAUGGACCUUAUGCUUGUUAUGUCACCUCUGUAACCAGUUAACAAACAUAAGGACCUUUCUGACUCUAUCCCAUAGCCCUACUUCACUGUGUUAUAAUGGACCUUAUGCUUGUUAUGUCACCUCUGUAACCAGUUAACAAACAUAAUGACCUUUCUGACUCUAUCCCAUAGCCCUACUUCACUGUGUUAUAAUAGAUCUUAUGCUUGUUAUGUCACCUCUGUAACCAGUUAACAAACAUAAUGACCUUUCUGACUCUAUCCCAUAGCCCUACUUCACUGUGUUAUAAUAGAUCUUAUGCUUGUUAUGUCACCUCUGUAACCAGUUAACAAACAUAAUGACCUUUCUGACUCUAUCCCAUAGCCCUACUUCACUGUGUUAUAAUGGACCUUAUGCUUGUUAUGUCACCUCUGUAACCAGUUAACAAACAUAAUGACCUUUCUGACUCUAUCCCAUAGCCCUACUUCACUGUGUUAUAAUGGACCUUAUGCUUGUUAUGUCACCUCUGUAACCAGUUAACAAACAUACUGACCUUUCUGACUCUAUCCCAUGGCCCUACUUUCUAGAACUGAACAUUUCAAUUCCUCUAUGAGUUUGUUUUGUGUCCAUUUACUUAUUUAUGUAUGUAUUUGUUGUAUAUUGGGGUUGUGCUGCAGAGCAUCAUGGGUGUUUGUAUGUGUUGAGAUGAUCACGUUCCAGAUAAAUGUUUGAACUGA